AACGUAGGUGGCGAGCGUUAUCCGGAUUUACUGGGCGUAAAGCGUGUGCAGGCGGACUAACAAGUGGUGUAUGAAAUCGCUCGGCUAAACCGGGCGGGGUUAUGCCAGACUGUUAGUCUGGAGUGCGAGAGAGGGGCGUGGAAUUCCUGGUGUAGCGGUGAAAUGCGCAGAUAUCAGGAGGAACACCGGUGGCGAAGGCGGUUCUCUGGGCAUUACCUGACGCUGAGGAGCGAAAGUGUGGGGAGCGAACAGG
rnacentral:rRNA from 1 species